AACUAACGCUGGCGGCGUGCCUAACACAUGCAAGUCGAACGAGAAAGUUGGCUUCGGCCGAUGAGUAAAGUGGCGCACGGGUGAGUAACACGUGGGUAACCUACCCAUCAGCGGGGGAUAACACUUGGAAACAGGUGCUAAUACCGCAUAAUUCUUUUCUUCGCCUGAAGGGAAGAUGAAAGACGCUUUUGCGUCACUGAUGGAU
rnacentral:rRNA from 1 species